AUAUAUGUGUGUGUAUAUAUAUAUACUAAAAUUAGAACGAUACAGAGAAUAUUACCAUGGCCCUGCGCAAGGUUAACACGCAAAAUCGUGAAGCGUUCCACAAUUCU